GCUGGGUGUGUAAGCGUUGUGAGGCGUUGAGCUAACCAGUACUAAUUGCCCGUGAGGCUUGACCAUAUAACACCCAAACA
rnacentral:rRNA from 1 species